CCUACGGGAGGCUGCAGUGGGGAAUAUUGCACAAUGGGCGCAAGCCUGAUGCAGCCAUGCCGCGUGUGUGAAGAAGGCCUUCGGGUUGUAAAGCACUUUCAGCGGGGAGGAAGGCGGUGAGGUUAAUACCCCCAUCGAUUGACGUUACCCGCAGAAGAAGCACCGGCUAACUCCGUGCCAGCAGCCGCGGUAAUACGGAGGGUGCAAGCGUUAAUCGGAAUUACUGGGCGUAAAGCGCACGCAGGCGGUCUGUCAAGUCGGAUGUGAAAUCCCCGGGCUCAACCUGGGAACUGCAUUCGAAACUGGCAGGCUAGAGUCUUGUAGAGGGGGGUAGAAUUCCAGGUGUAGCGGUGAAAUGCGUAGAGAUCUGGAGGAAUACCGGUGGCGAAGGCGGCCCCCUGGACAAAGACUGACGCUCAGGUGCGAAAGCGUGGGGAGCAAACAGGAUUAGAUACCCGAGUAGUC
rnacentral:rRNA from 1 species